rnacentral:rRNA from 1 species
CCUACGGGAGGCUGCAGUGAGGAAUAUUGGUCAAUGGGCGUAAGCCUGAACCAGCCAAGUCGCGUGAGGGAUGAAGGUCCUAUGGAUCGUAAACCUCUUUUAUAAGGGAAUAAAGUGCGGGACGUGUCCCGUUUUGUAUUUACCUUAUGAUUAAGGAUGGGCUACCUCCGUGCCAGCAGCCGCGGGAAUACGGAGGAUCCGACCGUUAUCCGGAUUUAUUGGGUUUAAAGGGUGCGUAGGCGGCCUUUUAAGUCAGCGGUGAAAGUUGGUGGCUCAACCAUAGAAUUGCCAUUGAUACUGGGAGGCUUGAGUACGUUUGAGGCAGGCGGAAUGCGUGGUGUAGCGGUGAAAUGCUUAGAUAUCACGCAGAACCCCGAUUGCGAAGGCAGCCUACCAAGCCAUGACUGACGCUGAUGCACGAAAGCGUGGGGAUCAAACAGGAUUAGAUACCCGUGUAGUC